AGCGAACGCUGGCGGUAGGCCUAACACAUGCAAGUCGAACGAACUCUUCGGAGUUAGUGGCGGACGGGUGAGUAACACGUGGGAACGUGCCUUUAGGUUCGGAAUAACUCAGGGAAACUUGUGCUAAUACCGAAUGUGCCCUUCGGGGGAAAGAUUUAUCGCCUUUAGAGCGGCCCGCGUCUGAUUAGCUAGUUGGUGAGGUAAAGGCUCACCAAGGCGACGAUCAGUAGCUGGUCUGAGAGGAUGAUCAGCCACAGUGGGACUGAGACACGGCCCAAACUCCUACGGGAGGCAGCAGUGGGGAAUCUUGCGCAAUGGGCGAAAGCCUGACGCAGCCAUGCCGCGUGAAUGAUGAAGGUCUUAGGAUUGUAAAAUUCUUUCACCGGGGACGAUAAUGACGGUACCCGGAGAAGAAGCCCCGGCUAACUUCGUG
rnacentral:rRNA from 1 species